rnacentral:tRNA from 1 species
GCGGAUGUGGCGAAACUGGUAGACGCGCAAGAUUUAGGUUCUUGUGCCUUACGGCGUGGAGGUUCAAGUCCUCUCAUCCGCACCA